rnacentral:lncRNA from 10 species
AGACGAGGUCUCACUAUGUUGCCCUGGCUAGUCUCCAAUUCUUGCUGUCUCGCGAGCCUCCCAUCUUGGCCUCCCAAAGUCCUGGGAUUACAGGGAUGAGCUACCAUGUCCAGCCCCAGAUCCAACUCUAAGAAAACACAGUCCAUCAGUCACUGAAGAGCACGUCAGUGUAUCCGUCUCUCCCUGUGUGAAUCCUGUUACUUGGACUUGUGUAGAGGUUGCAGUUUCAUCUUUCGUGUAGUAAUGACUGGCAUCAAUUUAUAUCGAUACAAUGAAAAAUUCUAAAGAACACUUUGUGGUAGAGAAAUAAAGGAGAUCUCGUCUUUGAAGAUGCAGAAUAUGGCAAGUAACUUUCCAGUAAAUCAUUCUAUUUUAGUGGAGGAGUUUUGAAGGAAGAUAAGCCCUGAGUUUCCUGAUUAUGUAUAAUUCAAAAAUAGAUAUUCAAAAGUCUCAGAGAUAACAUUCUUCUGUAUAGAUAGAAGAGUUUGCUUUGUCUAUAGAUCCCAUUGUACAGCUUGAAGAAGAGAAGAAUUAUUUUCUCAAAAUCUCAAAAAUCAUAUUUCUGCAAUUUUCUCAAUCUCAGAAUCACAUCUAAUUUCUGAUCAAAUUGGCAACACUCUCUAGUUCUAAGUGUUCAGUUCAUCUGGAAAGAACUUGGUGCAAUUUGUGUAAUUACUUUACAGCUAUCUGCAAAACAAACUGUGGGAGUCACGUCUCUGUCGAUGAAUGUAUAGAUUCAGGUCACUAGAACAUAAUCCUGAAACUGACAUUCUCUGUAAGAUUUUUCUCCUCUUUCGGUUCUCCUUUUUUUUUUUUUUUUUUUUUU